AUUGAACGCUGGCGGCAGGCCUAACACAUGCAAGUCGAACGAGUGGCGGACGGGUGAGUAAUGUCUGGGAAACUGCCUGAUGGAGGGGGAUAACUCCUGGAAACGGUAGCUAAUACCGCAUACCAUCGGAUGUGCCCAGAUGGGCGUAGCUUGUUGGUGGGGUAACGGCUCACCAAGGCGACGAUCCCUAGCUGGUCUGAGAGGAUGACCAGCCACACGGGGACUGAGACACGGUCCAGACUCCUACGGGAGGCAGCAGUGGGGAAUAUUGGACAAUGGGCGCAAGCCGGAUGCAGCCAUGCCGCGUGUAUGAAGAAGGUCUUCGGGUUGUAAAGUACUUGCAGCGGGGAGGCAGUACCUGCAGAAGAAGCACCGGCUAACUCCGUGCCAGCAGCCGCGGUAAUUC
rnacentral:rRNA from 1 species